CUUCAGCUGGGUUCUUGGGUUUGAAGAGAAGCUCGCAUUGCUUGCUGCAAGAGGUGAUGUCCCCCAGCUGAGAGUCAAAAGGGUCCCCCGCAUAGGCUGCAGACACUAUCACUAUUAGGGAGAGAAGGAGGCUGAGGUCACAACUCCAAUGCUCUGGAGAUCCCAUUCUGCUGUAGCUUUAUAUACAGGUCCAGGUGAAGAUGCACUGAAGACAGGGAACAGCAAGCAAUGUGCAAUGUCAGAGCAGCCCUGACGUCAUGUGCUCACUGAAAAGGACUAUGGG